AGCGAACGCUGGCGGCGUGCCUAACACAUGCAAGUCGAACGUGAACGGGGGCAACUCCUAGUAAAGUGGCGUACGGGUGAGUAACGCGUAGGUAAUCUACCUUAAAGUCUGGAAUAACCUGCCGAAAGGCGGGCUAAUACUGGAUAGAGCGAGGGAACCCAUAAAGGGGUUUUUCGGGAAAGGGAGCUCGCAAGAGCCUUUGCUUUAAGAUGAGCCUGCGUCUCAUUAGCUAGUUGGUAAGGUAAUGGCUUACCAAGGCAUUGAUGGGUAGCUGGUC
rnacentral:rRNA from 1 species